AACGCGAAGAACCUUACCUGCUCUUGACAUCCCCCUGAAGCAGUCGUAAUGGACUGUGUCCUUCGGGACAGGGGAGACAGGUGGUGCAUGGUUGUCGUCAGCUCGUGUCGUGAGAUGUUGGGUUAAGUCCCGCAACGAGCGCAACCCUUAUUUUCAGUAGCCAGCAGGUAGAGCUGGGCACUCUGGAGAGACUGCCGGGGAUAACCCGGAGGAAGGUGGGGAUGACGUCAAAUCAUCAUGCCCCUUAUGAGCAGGGCUACACACGUGCUACAAUGGCGUAAACAAAGAGAAGCGAGACUGUGAAGUGGAGCAAACCUCAAAAAUAACGUCUCAGUUCGGAUUGUAGUCUGCAACUCGACUACAUGAAGCUGGAAUCGCUAGUAAUCGCGAAUCAGAAUGUCGCGGUGAAUACGUUCCCGGGUCUUGUACACACCG
rnacentral:rRNA from 1 species